rnacentral:misc_RNA from 1 species
GAUGAAGAACGUAGCGAAAUGCGAUAAGUAAUGUGAAUUGCAGAAUUCAGUGAAUCAUCGAAUCUUUGAACGCACAUUGCGCCCCCCGGCAUUCCGGGGAGCAUGCCUGUUCGAGCGCCUCUUGGAAUACCCCUCACGCCGGCGGAGGCGUGGUCAUGGCGGCGGUGGCGUGCCCCGAGAGGGAGGCCACCGCGCUGGAAUCCAUGGGCGGACGCCUGCCGCGUGGCCGAGCGUGAUAAGACGCACUGGCGCUCGCGCGCGGCGAGGCUGCCGGCCCUGGCCCGCUCGUCGGGCGGGGACAGCAACACUUGGGAACUCCUCGAAUCAGGUAGGGAUACCCGCUGAACUUAAGCAUAUCAAUAAGCGGAGGA